rnacentral:rRNA from 1 species
UACGGAGGGUGCAAGCGUUGUCCGGAAUUAUUGGGCGUAAAGAGCGUGUAGGCGGCCCGAUUAGUCCGCUGUGAAAGUCCAGGGCUCAACCCUGGAAUGCCGGUGGAUACUGUCGGGCUAGAGUCCGGAAGGGGCGAGUGGAAUUCCUGGUGUAGCGGUGAAAUGCGCAGAUAUCAGGAGGAACACCAAUGGCGAAGGCAGCUCGCUGGGACGUGACUGACGCUGAGACGCGAAAGCGUGGGGAGCAAACAGG